rnacentral:lncRNA from 1 species
UGUUAAAUUUUGGAAAUUUUUUUGCCAAAUAAGAAUCAUGAAGAUGUGGAAUUUUGGAUUCGGUUGAUUCAGAAAAAAAAAAUUGGUAGCAUUUCAUAGAGAAAAUGUAGUAACAGGAAAACUGACGUUCAAUGACAAGGUAUGUUCUAAACUAUACAAAUAAUAUGUGUAGAUUGUAAUAAAUACCAUAUUCUUAUGUAAAGACUACGAAUUGAGUCAGGAGACUACUUUGGCUACACUUGGGAUUUUUGCAUUUAUGGGAAGAGAAACAAGAUUAUUCUUUUUUAGAAAUGAACAUAAAGGAUCUUGAUGAUCAUACCAAGGAUUUCCUCAGGUCAUUUGGUCAAUUGGUUAAACAUAUAUUUUUAAAUAAUUAAAUAAAAUCUGAAAGGUUUUCACAAAUUGUAGUUACUUGGAGUGUGGUAGCCUAUAUAUUUAUCCUGAAUUUAGCUCCCUACCUGAGUACAAGCUCUUCAUUAUGGUCAGAUGAUUUAUGAUAUUAAAUGAUGCUGAUUUAUUUAUUUAUAUUAUAAUUACAAUUACAAUUUACAGGUGGUUAUAGAGGAAAAUGGAUGGCUUGAUUUUUAUUUGCCACUUAGAUUAAAAUUCCAUCAUGAUGGAAGAAGAUCAAGACAAGAAGUUAUCCAAGCGGAAAAAGAGAUUAUUAUUUAUACUGUUCUUACUACUCGCUAUGAUGUUGUUUCUGGAUAUGCUCAUUAUAUCGGUUUUUCCUAA